UGAGUACGAGGUGCUACGGCAUCGAAGCAGUCUAUGUCAUACUUCCAAGAAAAGCUUGCACUGUCAUAAACAAAGAAUGCCUGUACCAUAACCGACACAGGUGGGUAGGUAGAGUAUACUAAGGGGCGCGAGAUAACUCUCUCUAAGGAACUCGGCAAAAUGACUCCGUAACUUCGGGAGAAGGAGUGCCUUAUUUCUAAGGUUGCAAUAACAAGAUCCAAGCAACUGUUUACCAAAAACACAGGUCUCCGCUAAGUCGUAAGACGAUGUAUGGGGGCUGACGCCUGCCCAGUGCCAGAAGGUUAAAGAAGUUGGUUAGCAUUAGCGAAGCUGAUAACUGAAGCCCUGGUGAACGGCGGCCGUAACAAUAACGGUCCUAAGGUAGCGAAAUUCCUUGUCGGGUAAGUUCCGACCCGCACGAAAGGCGUAAUGAUUUGGAUACUGUCUCGGAGAGGGGCUCGGUGAAAUAGACUUGUCUGUGAAGAUGCGGACUACCUGCACCUGGACAGAAAGACCCUAUGAAGCUUUACUGUAACUUGAGAUUGAAAUUGGACUUUAUUUGCGCAGUAUAGGUGGGAGGCGUUGAGAAUAAUCUUGCGGGAUUGUUGGAGCCAUCAGUGAGAUACCACUCUUGUAAUGUUAGAUUUCUAACUUUGUAUCAUUAUCUGGUCAAAGAACAGUUUCAGGCGGGCAGUUUGACUGGGGCGGUCGCCUCCCAAAGGGUAACGGAGGCGCACAAAGGUUUCCUCUGAACGGGUAGAAAUCGUAUCUAGAGUGUAAAGGCAUAAGGAAGCUUGACUGUGAGACCUACAAGUCGAGCAGGGACGAAAGUCGGUCUUAGUGAUCUGACGGUGCUGAGUGGAAAGGCCGUCACUCAACGGAUAAAAGUUACUCUAAGGAUAACAGGCUGAUCUCCCCCAAGAGUUCACAUCGACGGGGAGGUUUGGCACCUCGAUGUCGGCUCAUCGCAUCCUGGGGCGGUAGUCCGUCCCAAGGGUUGGGCUGUUCGCCCAUGAAAGCGGUACGCGAGCUGGGUUCAGAACGUCGUGAGACAGUUCGGUCCAUAUCCGGUGUAGGCGUUAGAAUAUUGAGAGGAGCCUUCUCUAGUACGAGAGGACCGAGAAGGACAUACCUCUGGUGUACCAGUUAUCGUGCCAACGGUAAACGCUGGGUAGCUAUGUAUGGAGUGGAUAACCGCUGAAAGCAUCUAAGUGGGAAGCCCACCUCAAGAUAAGUAUUCUCAUC
rnacentral:rRNA from 1 species